rnacentral:lncRNA from 1 species
GUAGAAAAGCAAGUAUCUCCAAAUGCGUACCAUACGCAAGUAUCUUGCAAGACACCAGCGCAGAACCAAAAAGUGCCGGAACCAGCCUGGAAUAAAUGUGCCAAGUGAAUCAAAUUCCUCUGCCAGCAGCUCUGGCAGAGAGUAUUAAAACCCUAAGAGUACUAGUAAUCAUAAUGUAAAGCUUCUUGAAAAUAAUAAAUGCCUCACACACUGUGGAAUUAUGGAAAUGGAAAGACAAAGCCAAUUAACAAUGUGUGAUAGAGCACUGCCGCAUUUCCCAGGAUCCGACCCAUUGUUGACUUGCCAUGUCAGUGCAGACUCGACAAGCUGGGAGCAGCUCGGCACAAGGGGCCUUUGUGUCUUUUCUAGUGGCGCCUGGUCAAAGGACGGGGCCACAGCAAUGGGCAUUGCAUGCCGUAUCUCAAUGCUCAUGAGAACUAUGGAAAUAAGUGAAGCGCACUCAAAUGAGAACAAGAAGAGGUUCUUUAUUCAGAACUUUCCCUUGCAAAGGGGGUCGGCCACCAUCACUCGUGUUUGGCAGCAGCUCGAAGAGAGGGGGCAGAGCUUUCCAGUGGAAGAAGGAAUGGCCUCAGGUACACACUGA